GACGAACGCUGGCGGCGCGCCUAACACAUGCAAGUCGAACGGAGUUUCCCCUUCGGGGGGAGCUUAGUGGCGGACGGGUGAGUAACACGUGAGGAACCUGCCUUUGAGAGCGGGAUACCGUCUGGAAACGGACGUUAAUACCGCAUAAUGCAGCGAGGCCACAUGGCCAUGCUGCCAAAGAUUUAUCGCUCAAAGAUGGCCUCGCGCCUGAUUAGAUAGUUGGCGGGGUAACGGCCCACCAAGUCUGCGAUCAGUAGCCGGACUGAGAGGUCGAACGGCCACAUUGGGACUGAGAUACGGCCCAGACUCCUACGGGAGGCAGCAGUGGGGGAUAUUGCACAAUGGGCGAAAGCCUGAUGCAGCGACGCCGCGUGAGGGAAGACGUUUUCGGAUUGUAAACCUCUGUACUUCGGGGACGAAACAAGACGGUACCGACGGAGGAAGCCGACGGCUAACUACGUGCCAGCAGCCGCGGUAAAACGUAGCGA
rnacentral:rRNA from 1 species